rnacentral:rRNA from 1 species
AUUGAACGCUGGCGGCAUGAUUUACACAUGCAAGUCGAACGGUAACAGGCCGCCAGGUGCUGACGAGUGGCGAACGGGUGAGUAAUGCAUCGGAACGUGCCCAGUCGUGGGGGAUAACUACUCGAAAGAGUAGCUAAUACCGCAUACGAUCUAUGGAUGAAAGCGGGGGACCGUAAGGCCUCGCGCGAUUGGAGCGGCCGAUGUCAGAUUAGGUAGUUGGUGGGGUAAAGGCUCACCAAGCCAACGAUCUGUAGCUGGUCUGAGAGGACGACCAGCCACACUGGGACUGAGACACGGCCCAGACUCCUACGGGAGGCAGCAGUGGGGAAUUUUGGACAAUGGGCGCAAGCCUGAUCCAGCAAUGCCGCGUGCAGGAAGAAGGCCUUCGGGUUGUAAACUGCUUUUGUACGGAACGAAACGGCUCUGGUUAAUACCCGGGGAUAAUGACGGUACCGUAAGAAUAAGCACCGGCUAACUACGUG